rfam:Limnochorda pilosa DNA, complete genome, strain: HC45.
GGCCAAGCAAGAGAAGGCCGACGGUGGAUGCCUAGGCGCUUUCGGGCCGAUGAAGGACGGGGCCAGCACCGAUAUGCCCCGGGGAGCCGCUAGCAGGCUUUGAUCCGGGGAUCUCCGAAUGGGGCAACCCGCCAGGGCGAGGAGUCCUGGCAGCAAGGCGCAAGCCUUGCGGGGCACCGGGGGAAGUGAAACAUCUCAGUACCCCGAGGAAGAGAAAGCAACCGCGAUUCCCCAAGUAGCGGCGAGCGAACGGGGAAGAGCCCAAACCGUCCGGGCUGAGAAGCCCACCGGCGUUGCCCGGGCGGGGUUGUGGGACGGUCCGUCGGGCGACGGUGGUCGCCCGGGGGGAACGGAGAGCCGAGCUGAAGGGCCUGGAAAGGUCCGCCAGAGAGCGUGAAAGCCGCGUAGGCGGAGGCUCGAAGGGAACCCGUGACCGAUCCCGAGUACCACGGGACACGAGGAAUCCCGUGGGAAUCCGGGGGGACCACCCUCCAAGGCUAAAUACCCGAAGCGACCGAUAGCGAACCAGUACCGUGAGGGAAAGGUGAAAAGCACCCCGGAAGGGGAGUGAAAGAGAACCUGAAACCGUCGGCCGACAAGCAGUCGGAGGGGCGAUAGGCCCUGACGGCGUACUUUUUGUAGAACGGACCGGCGAGUGGUCCUGAGGAGCGAGGCGAACCGGGGGAAGCCGGGAAGCCGGAGCGCAAGCGAGUCUGAACAGGGCGACGAGUUCCUCGGGGCCGACCCGAAGCUGGGUGAGCUACCCAUGGCCAGGGUGAAACCUCGCUAAACCGAGGUGGAGGCCCGAACCACGUGGUCGUUGAAACGGCCUGGGAUGAGCUGUGGGUAGGGGUGAAAUGCCAAUCGAACCCAGUGAUAGCUGGUUCUCCCCGAAAUCGCUUGAGGGCGAGCCUGGUCGAACGAGUUGCGGGGUAGCGCGCUGAUGGGGGAAGGGGCCGGAGAGGUUACCAACUCCCGUUAAACGACGAAUCCGCAACCCGAACCGGCCGGAGUCAGACUGCGGGGGAUAAGCUCCGUGGUCAAAAGGGAAACAGCCCAGAUCGCCAGCUAAGGUCCCCAAGCACGGGCUCAGUGGUAAAGGUGGUAGGGUCGCGCAGACAGCCAGGAGGUUGGCUUGGAAGCAGCCAUUCCUUGAAAGAGUGCGUAAUAGCUCACUGGUCGAGUGACCCUGCGCCGAAAAUGUAACGGGGCUCAAGCCCGUCACCGAAGCUGCGGGCCUCCUCCUUGGAGGAGGCGGUAGGGGAGCGUUCCGCACGCCGCUGAAGCCGAACCCGGAAGGGACGGUGGAGGGUGCGGAAGUGAGAAUGCCGGUAUAAGUAGCGCAAAGGCUGGUGAGAAUCCAGCCCGCCGAAAGCCUAAGGGUUCCUGAGGAAGGUUCGUCCUCUCAGGGUCAGUCGGGACCUAAGCCGAGGCCGAAAGGCGUAGGCGAUGGACAACGGGUCGACAUUCCCGUACCACCGUCUUCCCGUCUGAGCGAUGGGGUGACGCAGGGGGGCACGGUCAGCCCACGGAUGGAAGCGUGGGUCCAAGCGGGUAGCCGGGCGGGGGAGGCAAAUCCCUCCCGCCAUCCAACGGUGAGCCGUGAUGGGGAGCGAAACUCAAGUAGCGAAGGACCGGAGCCCGGACUGCCAAGAAAAGCCUCUAGCGAGGGAAGCGGUGCCCGUACCGCAAACCGACACAGGUAGGCGAGGCGAGGAUCCUAAGGCGCGCGAGAGAACCCCUGUUAAGGAACUCGGCAAAAUGCCGCCGUAACUUCGGAAGAAGGCGGGCCCUGCCGGGUGUAGCCCCCAGCGGGCGAAGCUUGGCGGGGCGGCAGAAGAGAGGCCCAAGCGACUGUUUACCAAAAACACAGGUCUCUGCGAAGGCGCAAGCCGAUGUAUAGGGGCUGACGCCUGCCCAAUGCCGGAAGGUUACGGGGAGGGGUCAGGGCGCAAGCCCGAAGCUCCGAACCUAAGCCCCGGUCAAUGGCGGCCGUAACUAUAACGGUCCUAAGGUAGCGAAAUUCCUUGUCGGGUAAGUUCCGACCUGCACGAAUGGCGUAACGACUUGGGCGCUGUCUCGACAGGGGGCUCGGCGAAAUUGUAGUACCCGUGAAGAUGCGGGUUACCUGCGACUAGACGGAAAGACCCCGUGGAGCUUGACUGUAUCCUGGGAGUGGACGUCGGCUGAGGGUGUAUAGGAUAGGUGGGAGGCUGGGAAGCCGGGACGUCAGUUUCGGUGGAGCCACCGGUGGAAUACCACUCUCCUUCAGUGGGCGUUCUAACCGAGCCGUGUGAAUCCACGGCCGGGACCCUCCCAGGGGGGCAGUUUGACUGGGGCGGUCGCCUCCUAAAGUGUAACGGAGGCGUCCAAAGGUUCCCUCAGCGCGGUCGGAAAUCGCGCGGCGAGUGCAAAGGCACAAGGGAGCUUGACGGCAAGACCGACAGGUCGAGCCGGGGCGAAAGCCGGGCUUAGUGAUCCGGUGGUACCGUGUGGAAGGGCCAUCGCUCAUCGGAUAAAAGCUACCCCGGGGAUAACAGGCUGAUCUCCCCCAAGAGUCCACAUCGACGGGGAGGUUUGGCACCUCGAUGUCGGCUCGUCGCAUCCUGGGGCUGGAGUCGGUCCCAAGGGUUGGGCUGUUCGCCCAUUAAAGCGGUACGCGAGCUGGGUUCAGAACGUCGUGAGACAGUUCGGUCCCUAUCUGUCGCAGGCGCAGGAGAUCUGAGGGGAUCCGUCCCCAGUACGAGAGGACCGGGACGGACGCACCGCUCGUCUACCAGUUGUCCCGCCAGGGGCACGGCUGGUCCGCGAUGUGCGGACGGGAGAAGCGCUGAAAGCAUCUAAGUGCGAAGCCCACCCCAAGAUGAGAUCUCCCACCCAAGGGGCGCAAGCCCUGAGGGGUAAGACCCCUGGAAGAUGACCAGGUUGAUAGGCCGGCGGUGCAAGGCGGGCAACCGUCUCAGCUGUCCGGUACUAAUCGGUCGAGGGCUUGGCCGU